rnacentral:rRNA from 1 species
AUUGAACGCUGGCGGCAUGCUUUACACAUGCAAGUCGAACGGUAACAGGGAGCUUGCUCCGCUGACGAGUGGCGAACGGGUGAGUAAUGCGUCGGAACGUGCCGAGUAGUGGGGGAUAACGCAGCGAAAGUUGUGCUAAUACCGCAUACGUACUGAGGUAGAAAGUGGGGGACCUGCGGGCCUCACGCUAUUCGAGCGGCCGACGUCUGAUUAGCUAGUAGGUGGGGUAAAGGCUCACCUAGGCGACGAUCAGUAGCGGGUCUGAGAGGAUGAUCCGCCACACUGGGACUGAGACACGGCCCAGACUCCUACGGGAGGCAGCAGUGGGGAGUUUUGGACAAUGGGCGAAGGCCUGAUCCAGCCAUGCCGCGUGUCUGAAGAAGGCCUUCGGGUUGUAAAGGACUUUUGUCGGGGAGGUAAUCCCCAGCGCUAAUACCGCUGGGGGAUGACAGUACCUGAAGAAUAAGCACCGGCUAACUACGUGCCAGCCGCCGCGGUAA